CUUUAGGAAGCAUGAAGUGGGGUCAGAGUGAAGGGCAAGAGGAGAGCUGGGGUUGGGCAGACUGAGGCUGUCUGGAGAGAUGAUAUGGCCUUAGUGUGGAGACGAAGAGAAAGCUUGCUAGGCAGUGUCCUUGGAAAUGGGUGAGGAUGAUCUUGACACGAGUCCCCGUGCUGGGUAUUUUUCCUCAGCAGCAUUUAGCUGUGCAGUGUGUGGGGUUCAUCUAGUUUUGGAAGACUGUUGGAAGAGUUAUUGGUUGAUUCAGAUGAUUAAUAACUGAGUUGGGCAUGCUUUCCAAAAUACUUACGAUUUCUAUCAAAAUAUUCAAAGUGAAUAUGAUGUCACAAGGGGAACCCCUGAAAUCCAUGGCACUUCCACAGCACUGACACGGCCUUCCCAGCUUCUGUAUUUCUUUUGUUGGCAGCAAAGGCAGAGAUGGAGACAAAGAACUGGAAUUUAGACAUUGGAGAUUUCGUUUCUGGCUGCUACAUUCCAGUGCAGUGUUACAUAGUUCAGAAGGCUGAUGACAGGGACAGACCCCACUCUUUCCUUAGCAAAGUGUGCCCUGGUGACGGCAGCCCCAUCCUUCUGGCAUCGUCUGGAAGAGCUCCCUUUUACCAACGCUGGGGAGUCUGAAUUUGAAGCAGGUGUAUGAAUGCAUUUGAAAGAAUCUCUUCCAGAUGCCAGAAGAUUCAGUUCUGGAGAAGGACGUGAAGGAAAAUUAUGAGAACAAGUGUCCUAUUCACAUGCUAGGAAAAUAAAUGUUUUACUAAUCCUUAAAUAACAUUUUACUCUGAGGUGUAUUGGCAAAUUUUAGUUUUAUUUCGGUAUGAGAGUCUCAUUUUUGGGAGUGUGAUUUAUACACAUUUAAGCAGUAGAGGUGAGUGCUAAAAUUAGCUUCUGUCAUCCCAUGCUAAUGUCUGUAUAGGAAGAGAAUAAUAUAAUUUUAAAGUCCUGACAUUUUCGUUAUGUUUAGUGGAUAAUUUACUAUUUAUUAUCAUUGGAUACAAUGUAGUUUAAUCAUUAAAAAUGCACAUACUUUCCUAUGUUUCUCAGCCUUCUCGUGGUAGAGAAAGUAUGCCAUCAGAAAGAUGGCCUAUGUGUUCUGUUUCUCUACUCAAGGCUUAAUGAAUAAAAUUCCAUCAUUAAACAAAUAUUUGUUUAGCACCUUUUCGUGUGCCAGGCACUGUGCUAUGUGCUGG
rnacentral:lncRNA from 1 species